UAGGGAAUCUUCGGCAAUGGACGAAAGUCUGACCGAGCAACGCCGCGUGAGUGAAGAAGGUUUUCGGAUCGUAAAACUCUGUUGUUAGAGAAGAACAAGGACGUUAGUAACUGAACGUCCCCUGACGGUAUCUAACCAGAAAGCCACGGCUAACUACGUGCCAGCAGCCGCGGUAAUACGUCGGUGGCAAGCGUUGUCCGGAAUUAUUGGGCGUAAAGCGAGCGCAGGCGGAUUCUUAAGUCUGAUGUGAAAGCCCCCGGCUCAACCGGGGAAGUGCAUUUGAAACUGGAAGACUUGAGUGCAGAAGAGGAGAGUGGAAUUCCAAGUGUAGCGGUGAAAUGCGUAGAUAUAUGGAGGAACACCAGUGGCGAAGGCGGCUAUCUGGUCUGUAACUGACGCUGAGGCUCGAAAGCGUGGGGAGCAAACAGG
rnacentral:rRNA from 1 species